rnacentral:rRNA from 1 species
AAAGAUUAAGCCAUGCAUGUCUAUGCACACGCCCUUGAAUGGUGAAGCCGCGAAAAGCUCAUUACAACAGCCAUAGUUUAUUGGAUGUUUACGUUCCUACAAGGACACCUGCGGUAAUUCUGGAGCUAAUACUUGCGAAAUGCGACAACCUCACGGGAGUCGUACAUUUAUUAGAUUAAACCAAUCGGUCCUUCGGGACCGCCAUUUGGUGAACUCUGAAUAACUUAGCUGAUCGCACAGUCUCGUACUGGCGACAAAUCUUUCAAGUGUCUGCCUUAUCAACUUUCGAUGGUAGUUUAUACGACUACCAUGGUUGUAACGGGUAACGGAGAAUAAGGGUUCGACUCCGGAGAGGGAGCCUGAGAAACGGCUACCACAUCCAAGGAAGGCAGCAGGCGCGCAAAUUACCCACUCGCAGAACGCGGAGGUAGUGACGAAAAAUAACGAGGUGGCUCUCUAUGAGGUCCAUCAUCGGAAUGGGUACAAUUUAAAUCCUUUAACGAGGAUCUAUUGGAGGGCAAGUCUGGUGCCAGCAGCCGCGGUAAUUCCAGCUCCAAUAGCGUAUACUAAAGUUGUUGCGGUUAAAAAGCUCGUAGUUGGAUCUGCGCUCGGUGAAAGCGGUCGCCCGAUGGGUUGUUACUGCUUCUCCCGGGCUAACCAUUCGGUUUUCUCUUGAUGCUCUUAACUGAGUGUCCUGGGUGACCGGAACGUUUACUUUGAAAAAAUUAGAGUGCUCAAAGCAGGCGAUUUGCCGGAAUAUUCGUGCAUGGAAUAAUAAAAGAGGUCCUUGUAGCCUUUUAUUGGUUAUCGCUACGAGGAAAUGAUCGAAGGGGACAGACGGGGGCAUUUGUAUUGCGACGUUAGAGGUGAAAUUCUUGGAUCGUCGCAAGACAAACUACUGCGAAAGCAUUUGCCAAGAAUG